GCUAUAGAAUUGCACUGUUCUCUCUGUGUUAUAGUUCCAUAACUUUCCUUGGAUUUUCAAUGAUGCAGGUUGGAAAAUCAACAAAAGGCUAAGAAAUGGGUCCUUGCAGUACUAUACUGUCAUUUUGGUUACUCAGAACUAAUUUUCUGAUGUUACAGGUUCUUCCCUCUGUGUCUCUGCUAUUGAUUACAAUGUGAUGCAUUUUGCGGUGGAGAGAUUAUUGUAAAUUUCAAGACCAGGCUGAAAUAUUUUUAAAUUGAAUUUCAGACAUAUUUUCAAAAGUACUCAACUAAGCAUGAUAUAUCUUCAGUUCCCAUUCACGACAAAGUCACAGAAUUAUACCAUCCGGAACUAGGUGAAUGAGUGAUUUGUGGAAGGGAAAGUCCUUUGUUUGCAGCAAAAAAGGUUAAGAGGUUGAAGCCAAACCUCUGAGAAGAUGAUGAAGGUACAGAGUGGGCAUUCAAUCUGUGAUCUCCCUAUGCAAGAGAAAUAUGCAAAUUGGAUGUUUCAGAUGGAGAUGCCUGGUACAUGUGGAAUUCCCUAGCUGACCUGCUUAUGAAUACUUGACUCCAGCAAAGACACAAAAAAGAUUGAAAUGUAGAAGAUUCAUUGUACCUAAUCCAGCUUAUUCUGCAAGACAAAAUCCGUAAAGACAGCCAAUUGUCUUCAUAACAGUUCAGAUUCAUUUUCUCACCCCCAUAUUAUUAGAUGAAUUAUUGUUCCUAUUUGAACUGAAUUUAUCUUGCCUGUUUGAACAUUUUAUGAAACUUUGAUACCUAAAUAGACGAGGAACCUUUCAAAGCUCAAAUUCCAAUAAAGAGGUAUAUUUGUUUUUUUCAUCUUUGGUUGGAAAUUUCAGGAGAGUUGACGCUGAUGUGUGUCUUUUCUUUCUGUUCUAUUACUUAAGACAAAUUCUUACUUCUAUUGCACAAUGUUUGUUUGUUUAUUUAACUAAUUAAUUAGUUAGAUAAUUUGGGGGAACAUCUUGACAAACUUGCAAUGUUUUUUUGUCUAAAAAUAGAAAUAAUCCAAUAUUUUGAAUUUAUUUUAUAGUGAGAAUAUUAGUACAAGAGUAAUAAAAAAAAAAAACAAGAAUGCAUUCAUCCUGGUUUACAAACCGAUGGAUCAACUAUGUGAAGAAUUUUACAGAUAAGUAAGUGAUAAUUGCUUAAGUCAUGCAGUAAUACACUCAGUGGAAGAAACCUCAUGCCAGCCCCCCAGUGAAACCUUUACUUAAAAUUCUUUGUUUUCACAGCAUGGAGUUCUAUGAAGUACAGAAGGAAUACUGAAAAGUUAGAUAUUUCAGGUUGAACAUCAUUUGCAUAUUUUUACCAAAGUGCCCCAAACUAGAUGAUUAAAUCUUCAGAGGUUCUUUUACUGUCAGUGGAGAGCAAUGGAGUGCCUUCCUAGAGGCUGACUCAUUUUAACAUACUUAUCUGAGAUAAAUCAGAUGUAUUAAUCUUGAAUGCUUUUUUCUCUUUUUUGGCUAUUCAGAGGUCCAAGGAUGACUAACUCAGACAUCAAAAUAUACCCUUUGGAUAUGAAAGAUUAAGGAAGAGAAAUUCUACUGCUAAAGUUUUGUUUUACAAAGCUUCACAACUGUAAAGGCAUGAGGCACAUACACAGAAAUGAUUCAGUGCAUUUAAUCACAGGCCAAUUGCUGCAUACAUUUGCAAGGAUGAUACCUCUCCUUUACAGCAACAUGUAGUUCUCAAAAAGUAAUGCUCAGCUACUGUCAACUAAGCAUAAUUUUGUUCUCUCUCCAUCUAAAAUACUGAGUUAUUAGCAAGCAGAAUCAGAACAAUAUCACUGCAAUUCCCUUAGGACUGCCAUAAGACAGGGUCAUUGGGGGUAUUAUAAAAAGUAAAAUAUCUCUCCUCCCCACACUGCUGUAAUGCUGUCUGUACUGAAGAAAUGCAACUCUAACAGUAAUUGUACAAUAUGUUUCCAUAUUAAUGUUAUCCUGAAUAAAGAUGAUUACAUUUUAAAAAGA